GUUCUCCUUGUGUUUUAAUCUUUGAUUUAUUUGUGAAUAUUUUUAUUUUUCAAUAUUUUUAUUCCAGUCUUUGAUCUUUAAUGAUGACUUCACUGUGUGGGAAGUCCCGGUAACCGCUAACCACAAACGUGCCCGGUAAAGUCCCGGUAACACCCCAAAACGUACCCCGAGCAGAGAGGCGGGGAUAGAUUGAUAUUAUAUGUAGAUAGAUGUGUUUUAUCCAACAGCAUUGUGGCUGGCUCCAUAUAGCAACAGUACCAUUAGAUAAGGUUUACCAGAGGAGAUAGAGGGAGGACUAUGUUUCCCAAAUGGCACUCUCUGCCUUGGUGCACUACCCUAUGGGCCCUGGUCUAAAGUAGAGCACUAUGUAGGGAAUAGGGUGCAAUUUGGGACACAGCCUAGAACAGGCUUGACAACCACAGAACACACCCACGCUUCAUAUUGUGUUACAACCUGAACUAAACUAACCAUCACACCCAGGUAGUUGACAACCCGAACUAAACUAACCAUCACACCCAGGUAGUUGACAACCUGAACUAAACUAACCAUCACACCCAGGUAGUUGACAACCUGAACUAAACUAACCAUCACACCCAGGUAGUUGACAACCUGAACUAAACUAACCAUCACACCCAGGUAGUUGACAACCUGAACUAAACUAACCAUCACACCCACUUAGUUCACAACCUGAACUAAACUACAUGUAUAGAGUCUAUUUAGAGAUAUGUGAUAUACAUUUGUAUGGACAUUUAUUCUCAUGCAUAUAUAUAUACAGGUAACUGCCAAAGUAAAGGAAACACCAACAUAUAGCGUCUCAAUAGGGCGUUGGGCCUCCACCAAUCAGAACAGCUUCAGUCCAUCUUGGCAUGAAUUCUACAAGUGUCUGGAACUCUAUUGGAGGGAUGAGACGCCAUUCUUCCACGAGAAAUUCCAUCAUUUUGUGUUUUUUUUGUUGAUGGUGGUGAAAAACUCUGUCUCAGGUGUCGCUCCAGAAUGUCCCGUAAGUGUUCAAUUGGGUUGAGAUCUGGUGACUGAGACGGCCACGACAUAUGGUUUUUCACCCUAAGCAUGAUGGGAUGUUAAUUGCUUAAUUAACUCAGGAAACACCAGCUUUCAAUCCCUCAUUUCCUCCAGUGUUUCCAUUAUUCUGUCAGCUCCCUGUACAUAUACAGUAUCAUGUAUUGUAUGUAUAUGAGCAGAAUGUCUACUAGCGUGUUGCCCAUCUUCAACACAGUGGCAGACUGGAAGGCAGAUACUUAGUUUGUACUUUGCAGAGGCCUUUUGGUUCAUAGGUUGAGAGGCAAAAGUCUGUCUGUCUCUUUUAAGGUCUUUCCUCCGAUGAUUAAAAGAUUGUAUGAGAUGCUGAAUGAUAUUGAGGGGUUGCUGGCUAGAUCAUCUCCCUAUUAGUUAUUAGAUCAAUUAAAUAGCGCUGCUUUACUCGUUCAUAUGCUUCACCAAUCCUGCUUUACUCGUUCCUACACGUCCCCAAUCCUGCUUUACUCGUUCCUAUGCGUCCCCAAUCCUGCUUUACUCGUUCCUACACGUCCCCAAUCCUGCUUUACUCGUUCCUACACGUCCCCAAUCCUGCUUUACUCGUUCCUACACGUCCCCAAUCCUGCUUUACUCGUUCCUACAUGUCACCAAUCCUGCUUUACUCGUUCAUAUGCUUCACCAAUCCUGCUUUACUCGUUCCUAUGCGUCCCCAAUCCUGCUUUACUCGUUCCUACACGUCCCCAAUCCUGCUUUACUCGUUCAUAUGCUUCCCCAAUCCUGCUUUACUCGUUCCUAUGCUUCCCCAAUCCUGCUUUACUCGUUCCUACACGUCACCAAUCCUGCUUUACUCGUUCCUAUGCUUCACCAAUCCUGCUUUACUCGUCCCUAUGCGUCCCCAAUCGGUGAUCCGACCUAAAUCAAGGGUUUAUAAUCCCUCCCGAUUCACUUUAAAUCACCUUGAACAUCCUCGGCAUGAACAAUGUUCCCCUUUUUCCACAGAAAACUAAAUAAUAAUGUUCAUUGCAAUUCUUUGCUGCUAUGAGAGAAAUUACAAUCCUUCAUCCUUUCUCUUCCCUUCGUUCUGGAGAUCUUUUUUUUUGCACUUUAUGCCUGGCGCACGGUCGCACGGUUGCUUCUCUCCCUGUGUUCUCGUCCUCGUCGUUAGUUUGCCUCGAAGCUGAAUAAAUCGUGUGCCUCUCUUCCUACUUUCUCCCGGACUUUCUCCUGUGUUGUGCCGUGCAUAACUCUAAACUACGAGCCACCAAAAAAAAGCUCAAACCCACAUCGAUAGAUACAAAUAGAUAGAUAGAUUAGAUAAAUACUUUACGGGUGAAAACUGAGCGUUCAAUGGCUACUGUGCCUCAAGAAUAGUAGAUUAUAUAUAGGCUACACGUACCGGUGUGGGGAUGGAUGUUUGGGGGGGAUCAGACCUCGAUAAUAAUCUAUAUUGGUGUCGUAGCAGGUAGGGGGAGGGUUGGGGUUUUUAGAAUGAGGUGCGAUCGCUCGCAUUGGUCAGUCAGGUCACAUGACCUGUUAUUAACCCGUAAGACAAGGACAAUGCAAACCUGACCGACUUGGAUGGUUAGAGAUCUCCUACUUGAAUAUAUAAAACCAGUACAGACCUGUUACACUCUGUAUAUAGAGGAAUAUAUUGAAGGUUUCUAUUGGCUCAUUUACUUCUUUGAUUUAACUGUACCUCUGGCUGUAAACACGCGUGUGCGUGUGCGUGUGCGUGUGCGUGUGUGUGUGUGUGUGUGUGUGUGUGUGUGUGUGUGUGUGUGUGUGUGUGUGUGUGUUUUUCCUCUUAUUUUGCAUUUUACGUUUAAGGUGAUUUUAUAUUUUCCUCGUUUUCUUUUUGCAUCCGUUUGUUUAUGUCUCCCCCUCUCCCAGCGAUCUGAGGGGUUUAUGUCUCCCCCUCUCCCAGCGAUCUGGGGGGUUUAUGUCUCCCCCUCUCCCAGCGAUCUGGGGGUUUAUGUCUCCCCUCUCCCAGCGAUCUGGGGGGUUUAUGUCUCCCCCUCUCCCAGCGAUCUGGGGGGUUUAUGUCUCCCCCUCUCCCAGCGAUCUGGGGGGUUUAUGUCUCCCCCUCUCCCAGCGAUCUGGGGGGUUUAUGUCUCCCCUCUCCCAGCGAUCUGGGGGGUUUAUGUCUCCCCUCUCCCAGCGAUCUGGGGGGUUUAUGUCCCCCCCUCUCCCAGCGAUCUGGGGGGUUUAUGUCCCCCCCUCUCCCAGCGAUCUGGGGGGUUUAUGUCUCCCCCUCUCCCAGCGAUCUGGGGGGUUUAUGUCUCCCCUCUCCCAGCGAUCUGGGGGGUUUAUGUCUCCCCCUCUCCCAGCGAUCUGGGGGGUUUAUGUCUCCCCCUCUCCCAGCGAUCUGGGGGGCUUAUGUCUCCCCCUCUCCCAGCGAUCUGGGGGGUUUAUGUCUCCCCUCUCCCAGCGAUCUGGGGGGUUUAUGUCUCCCCUCUCCCAGCGAUCUGAGGGGUUUAUGUCUCCCCUCUCCCAGCGAUCUGGGGGGUUUAUGUCUCCCCUCUCCCAGCGAUCUUGGGGGUUUAUGUCUCCCCCUCUCCCAGCGAUCUGGGGGGUUUAUGUCUCCCCCUCUCCCAGCGAUCUGGGGGGUUUAUGUCUCCCCUCUCCCAGCGAUCUGGGGGGUUUAUGUCUCCCCUCUCCCAGCGAUCUGGGGGUUUAUGUCUCCCAGCGAUCUGGGGGGUUUAUGUCUCCCCCUCUCCCAGCGAUCUGGGGGGUUUAUGUCUCCCAGCGAUCUGGGGGGGUUUAUGUCUCCCCCUCUCCCAGCGAUCUGGGGGCUUGAUGGCCAGCCAGGGUUUAUGUCUCCCAGCGAUCUGGGGGCUUGAUGGCCAGCUGGGGUUUAUGUCUCCCAGCGAUCUGGGGGCUUGAUGGCCAGCUGGGGUUUAUGUCUCCCAGAGAUCUGGGGGCUUGAUGGCCAGCUGGGGUUUAUGUCUCCCAGCGAUCUGGGGGCUUGAUGGCCAGCCAGGGUUUAUGUCUCCCAGAGAUCUGGGGGCUUGAUGGCCAGCUGGGGUUUAUGUCUCCCAGCGAUCUGGGGGCUUGAUGGCCAGCUGGGGUUUAUGUCUCCCAGCGAUCUGGGGGCUUGAUGGCCAGCUGGGGUUUAUGUCUCCCAGCGAUCUGGGGGCUUGAUGGCCAGCUGGGGUUUAUGUCUCCCAGCGAUCUGGGGGCUUGAUGGCCAGCUGGGGUUUAUGUCUCCCAGAGAUCUGGGGGCUUGAUGGCCAGCCGGGGUUUAUGUCUCCCAGCGAUCUGGGGGCUUGAUGGCCAGCUGGGGUUUAUGUCUCCCAGCGAUCUGGGGGCUUGAUGGCCAGCUGAAGAGUUUCUUUAGAAAUUGUAUUAUUUUACUCUGUGUGUGUAGGGCUGGGGUGGAAGGUCCAUUAAACCCAGGUUUGGCCUCUAGGGCCCCAAUGUCUGACCUGCGCUGAGCUCUGUUGACUGUAGAAGUAUAUGGGGAGCUGGAUAAUCCCUCAAACUUACAGAACAGAAGAGCGUUGACCUAGGUUCUUUCUUUCUUUCCAACAAUCAAUAUCCCCUGUAUACACCUUCUCUCUCUCUCUCUCUCUCUCUCUCUUUCUCUUUCUCUCUCUCUCUCAUCUCUCUCUCUCUCUCACUCUCUCUCUCUCCCUCUCUCUCUCUCUCUCUCUCUCUCUCUCUCUCUCUCUCUCUCUCUCUCUCUCUCUCUCUCUCUCUCUCUCUCUCUCGUUAAUCCAACUAGCACACAUGAAAAACAGUCACUAGUGUCACUGUCAGUUUAUACCAAAUAUAACAUUGUUACUAGAUUUCUAGAGAACUGGUGUCACAACUAAAGCUAAAGAGCCAAUCAGACAGGGGUGGUGGAUGUUGUUUGUUAGAGCUUUCAGACUCCUGGAGAUUCAGACCACUCGUAACAAAAAAACCAAAACUUAUUCCGGAACCUGUCAGGUGUGACUUCUCACUAGUUCUCUAGAAGGUUCUCGAUCAUUCUGUAGAACGUUCUACAGUUGUUCUGUAUUCUGGAAUGUAAUGUCCAAAAGCUAGUCAUUUGCUGUGAAAGAUGAUUGUUUAUUUCCCCAGAUAUUAUUUGUUAUUUUGGUGACACUGGCGCCGACUUCUGACAUAGUUUUUUUUUUUUAGAUCUGCAGGAGAUAUUACCACAGGCUGUGUCCCAAAUCACAUUCCCGACCUAUUUGCUCUACUCUAUAAAGUAUUAUAGGGAUUAGGGUCCCGUUUGGGACGUUGGAACAGAGAGCUGAUGACGAGAUAGGUAUUGGAGAUGUUAUUAUCCCUGAGAAGAGAUGAUUAAAACUAUAUGAUAGGUAUACAAAGGAAAAGAUUGUAACGUUUGAUAAAUGUGUUCAAAUUGUUCAAAUGAAAAUAGGUCUAAAGUUUGCUGUAUUUAUAAUGGCUGUAUUAAAGUCGUGCCUGGUUCUCUUUUUCUUUAUUCAAACACAUUAUAUAUGCUUUCUUUUUACUUGACUACAAUUUAUUUUGCGUUCUGUAUGUAUGUUUUCACUGUAUUGUAAAAUGAUCAGAUAUCACAAUAAACUUUAAAUGGCAUUCGA